rnacentral:rRNA from 1 species
AGUGAACGCUGGCGGUAGGCCUAACACAUGCAAGUCGAACGGCAGCACAGUAGGAGCUUGCUCUUACGGGGGGCGAGUGGCGGACGGGUGGGGAAUACAUCGGAAUCGACUUUUUCGUGGGGGAUAACGUAGGGAAACUUACGCUAAUACCGCAUACGACCUACGGGUGAAAGCAGGGGAUCUUCGGACCUUGCGCGAUUGAAUGAGCCGAUGUCGAUUUAGUUAGUGGGGGGGGUAAAGGCCCACAAAGGCGACGAUCCGUAGCUGGUCUGAGAGGUGGUUCAGCCACAUUGGAACUGAGACACGCUCCAGCCCCUUACGGGAGGAACCAGUGGGGAAUAUUGGACAAUGGGCGAAAGCUUGCUCCAGACCUACCGCGUGGGUGAAGAAGGCCUCCGGGCUGUAAGCUCCUUUUGUUGGGAAAGAAAAGCAGCAGGUUAAUACGCCGCUGUUCUGACGGUACCCAACGAAUAAGCAACGGCUAACUUCGUG